ACAGAGGGAUCUAUAUGUACUAUUUUGUGCCUUUUCAUCAUAUUGGUAUUUGAACCUAUGAUCUCUUCGUUAAAAGCCCAAGUUCUAGUCUUUGGGGUAUCCUCUCGUCGACUUUGUUGCCUUCUUGCAUAAUUAAGCAUAUUGCAUGAAGUGAUUCAAAAUUAGUUUCUAAAGCACUAGAAGCUUAUCUCUUUUCAUGUUAUAUCAAUAUCUUGAAAUAUUCUCUUCUUUCUCAAGUGAUCAUACAAGUGGACCAUUGUCUGUUGAAUUUGAUCAAGAGCAGUUGCUUAAUUUGAGAUUAUUGAAAAUGAGAAUCCUAACAAAUGAGCUCUUCUACGGCUUGUUGAUAAGAGACCAACACGAUGUAAUGGAUUUAACUGAGGCUUAUGAAAAUGCUAGAUUUUAAAUGGUUCAAAUAUGAAGCCAUGAAGGAUAAUAUUUUCGCAUUGAUUAUACCUGGUGUCCAAAUUCCAGUAAAAAAAAUUUUGAUGUAGUAGUAGAGUACUAAAAAUAAAUUUUCAGAGGUUAAUUUUAUCUUUAAUAUGAAACUUCAUUAAAAUUCAGGGUGUACAAGUAAUGG
rnacentral:misc_RNA from 1 species